rnacentral:rRNA from 1 species
GCAAGUCGAGCGGUAAAGGCCUUUCGGGGUACACGAGCGGCGAACGGGUGAGUAACACGUGGGUGAUCUGCCCUGCACUUCGGGAUAAGCCUGGGAAACUGGGUCUAAUACCGGAUAUGACCUCCUAUCGCAUGGUGGGUGGUGGAAAGAUUUAUCGGUGCAGGAUGGGCCCGCGGCCUAUCAGCUUGUUGGUGGGGUAAUGGCCUACCAAGGCGACGACGGGUAGCCGACCUGAGAGGGUGACCGGCCACACUGGGACUGAGACACGGCCCAGACUCCUACGGGAGGCAGCAGUGGGGAAUAUUGCACAAUGGGCGAAAGCCUGAUGCAGCGACGCCGCGUGAGGGAUGACGGCCUUCGGGUUGUAAACCUCUUUCAGCAGGGACGAAGCGCAAGUGACGGUACCUGCAGAAGAAGCACCGGCUAACUACGUGCCAGCAGCCGCGGUAAUACGUAGGGUGCAAGCGUUGUCCGGAAUUACUGGGCGUAAAGAGUUCGUAGGUGGUUUGUCGCGUCGUUUGUGAAAACCAGCAGCUCAACUGCUGGCUUGCAGGCGAUACGGGCAGACUUGAGUACUGCAGGGGAGACUGGAAUUCCUGGUGUAGCGGUGAAAUGCGCAGAUAUCAGGAGGAACACCGGUGGCGAAGGCGGGUCUCUGGGCAGUAACUGACGCUGAGGAACGAAAGCGUGGGUAGCGAACAGGAUUAGAUACCCUGGUAGUCCACGCCGUAAACGGUGGGCGCUAGGUGUGGGUUCCUUCCACGGAAUCCGUGCCGUAGCUAACGCAUUAAGCGCCCCGCCUGGGGAGUACGGCCGCAAGGCUAAAACUCAAAGGAAUUGACGG